rnacentral:rRNA from 1 species
UGUUGGUUCAAGCCUGUAGUCGUGCCUGGUAGGUAAAUCCGCCGGGCUUAGAUGAGGGGUGAUAACGAGGCUGCUUGCAGCCGAAGUGAGUGAUACCCUGCUUCCAGGAAAAGCCACUAAGCUUCAGCUACACACGACCGUACCGCAAACCGACACUGGUGCGCGAGAUGAGUAUUCUAAGGCGCUUGAGAGAACUCUGGAGAAGGAACUCGGCAAAUUGACACCGUAACUUCGGAAGAAGGUGUGCCUUUAGUAGGUGAAGGGAUUUACUCCUGGAGCCCAAUGAGGUUGCAAAAAAUCGGUGGCUGCGACUGUUUAUUAAAAACACAGCACUCUGCAAACACGAAAGUGGACGUAUAGGGUGUGACGCCUGCCCGGUGCUGGAAGAUUAAAUGAUGUGGUGAGAGCUCUUGAUUGAAGUCCCAGUAAACGGCGGCCGUAACGAUAACAGUCCUAAGGUAGCGAAAUUCCUUGUCGGGUAAGUUCCGACCUGCACGAAUGGCGUAACGAUGGCCACACUGUCUCCUCCAGAGACUCAGCGAAGUUGAAAUGUUUGUGAUGAUGCAAUCUCCCCGCGGAAAGACGGAAAGACCCCAUGAACCUUUACUGUAGCUUUGUAUUGGACUUUGAACAGAUCUGUGUAGGAUAGGUGGGAGGCUUUGAAGUAGGGUCGCUAGAUCUUAUGGAGCCAACGUUGAAAUACCACCCUGGUGUGUUUGAGGUUCUAACCUAGGUCCAUUAUCUGGAUCGGGGACAGUGCAUGGUAGGCAGUUUGACUGGGGCGGUCUCCUCCCAAAGCGUAACGGAGGAGUUCGAAGGUACGCUAGUUACGGUCGGACAUCGUGACGAUAGUGCAAUGGCAUAAGCGUGCUUAACUGCGAGACUGACAAGUCGAGCAGAUGCGAAAGCAGGACAUAGUGAUCCGGUGGUUCUGUAUGGAAGGGCCAUCGCUCAACGGAUAAAAGGUACUCUGGGGAUAACAGGCUGAUACCGCCCAAGAGUUCAUAUCGACGGCGGUGUUUGGCACCUCGAUGUCGGCUCAUCUCAUCCUGGGGCUGUAGCCGGUCCCAAGGGUAUGGCUGUUCGCCAUUUAAAGAGGUACGUGAGCUGGGUUUAAAACGUCGUGAGACAGUUUGGUCCCUAUCUUCCGUGGGCGCUGCAGAUUUGAGGAAGCCUGCUCCUAGUACGAGAGGACCGGAGUGGACACACCUCUGGUGUAUCGGUUGUCACGCCAGUGGCAUUGCCGAGUAGCUAUGUGUGGAAGAGAUAACCGCUGAAAGCAUCUAAGCGGGAAACUCGUUUCAAGAUGAGAUCUGCCGGGGCCUUGAGCCCCCUGAAGAGUCGUUCAAGACCAGGACGUUGAUAGGUCGGGUGUGUAAGUGCAGCAAUGCAUUGAGCUAACCGAUACUAAUUGCUCGUGCGGCUUGACCCC